GACGAACGCUGGCGGCGUGCCUAACACAUGCAAGUCGAACGGGGGUAGCAAUACCUCAGUGGCGAACGGGUGCGUAACACGUGAAGAAUUUGUCCAACGGCGGGGGAUAGCCGGCCCAACGGCCGGGUAAUACCGUGUACGCCCGUUCGGGAGGCAUCUCCUGAUUGGGAAAGCCGCAAGGCGCCGAUGGAGAACUUCGCGGCCUAUCAGCUAGUUGGUGAGGUCAUGGCUCACCAAGGCGACGACGGGUAGCUGGUCCGAGAGGAUGACCGGCCACAUUGGGACUGAGACACGGCCCAGACUCCUACGGGAGGCAGCAGUGGGGAAUAUUGCGCAAUGGGACGAAAGCCUGACGCAGCGACGCCGCGUGUGGGAUGACGGCCUGGU
rnacentral:rRNA from 1 species